UACGGAGGGGGCUAGCGUUGUUCGGAAUUACUGGGCGUAAAGCGCGCGUAGGCGGCUUUGUAAGUUAGAAGUGAAAGCCCGGAGCUCAACUCCGGAAUUGCCUUUAAGACUGCAUCGCUAGAAUCAUGGAGAGGUGAGUGGAAUUCCGAGUGUAGAGGUGAAAUUCGUAGAUAUUGGGAAGAACACCGGUGGCGAAGGCGGCGAGUUGGCCUGUACCUGACGCUGAGGCGCGACAGCGUGGGGAGCAAACAGG
rnacentral:rRNA from 1 species